AGAGUUUGAUCCUGGCUCAGGAUGAACGCUAGCUACAGGCUUAACACAUGCAAGUCGAGGGGAAACGACAUCGAAAGCUUGCUUUUGAUGGGCGUCGACCGGCGCACGGGUGAGUAACGCGUAUCCAACCUGCCCACCACUUGGGGAUAACCUUGCGAAAGUAAGACUAAUACCCAAUGACGUCUCUAGAAGACAUCUGAAAGAGAUUAAAGAUUUAUCGGUGAUGGAUGGGGAUGCGUCUGAUUAGCUUGCUGGCGGGGUAACGGCCACAAGGCGACGAUCAGUAGGGGUUCUGAGAGGAAGGUCCCCCCANAUUGGAACUGAGACACGGUCCAAACUCCGUACGGGAGCA
rnacentral:rRNA from 1 species